UACGAGGGGGGCAAGCGUUGUUCGGAAUUACUGGGCGUAAAGGGCGCGUAGGCGGCGCGGUAAGUCACUUGUGAAACCUCUAGGCUUAACCUAGAGCCUGCAGGCGAAACUGCCGUGCUGGAGUGUGGGAGAGGCGAGUGGAAUUCCUGGUGUAGCGGUGAAAUGCGCAGAUAUCAGGAGGAACACCUAUUGCGAAGGCAGCUCGCUGGGACGUAACUGACGCUGAGACGCGAAAGCGUGGGGAGCAAACAGG
rnacentral:rRNA from 1 species